rnacentral:rRNA from 1 species
GGUGAAGGAUGAGCCCGCGGCCUAUCAGCUUGUUGGUGGGGUGAUGGCCUACCAAGGCGACGACGGGUAGCCGGCCUGAGAGGGCGACCGGCCACACUGGGACUGAGACACGGCCCAGACUCCUACGGGAGGCAGCAGUGGGGAAUAUUGCACAAUGGGCGAAAGCCUGAUGCAGCGACGCCGCGUGAGGGAUGACGGCCUUCGGGUUGUAAACCUCUUUCAGCAGGGAAGAAGCGAGAGUGACGGUACCUGCAGAAGAAGCGCCGGCUAACUACGUGCCAGCAGCCGCGGUAAUACGUAGGGCGCAAGCGUUGUCCGGAAUUAUUGGGCGUAAAGAGCUCGUAGGCGGCUUGUUGCGUCGGUUGUGAAAGCCCGGGGCUUAACCCCGGGUCUGCAGUCGAUACGGGCAGGCUAGAGUGUGGUAGGGGAGAUCGGAAUUCCUGGUGUAGCGGUGAAAUGCGCAGAUAUCAGGAGGAACACCGGUGGCGAAGGCGGAUCUCUGGGCCAUUACUGACGCUGAGGAGCGAAAGCGUGGGGAGCGAACAGGAUUAGAUACCCUGGUAGUCCACGCCGUAAACGUUGGGAACUAGGUGUUGGCGACAUUCCACGUCGUCGGUGCCGCAGCUAACGC